AGUAACAUAAGCUAAAUUGUUUAAAGCUCCCGGGCCCAUGCCCCGGACAUGUGGGUUAAAAUCCCACUAUUACUGU
rnacentral:tRNA from 1 species